GCCUAGUAGGUAGCAUGUCAGUCUCAUAAUCUGAAGGUCGUGAGUUCGAUCCUCACACAGGGCA
rnacentral:tRNA from 1 species